AAUGUGGGGACAGGUGUCACCUCUUCAACAACACUGACAGGGGAGACGGCUCUCAGGUCAGGGAGCUGUUGGAGAAGGUAGAUCUCAUGGUCACUCAGAACAAGUACUCCCACUAUGAAGUGCUCAGAGAGCAGAGAGAGGGCAGAUACACAGGACUGGGGCGAAUCAUUAUGGUGACUGUACUAGUAACUGCAGUAGGAGCUGGGAUAGGGGCUUGUACACCAGCAGGACGAAAGGGAGCAGCAGUAGGAGCUAUGAUAGGAGCAGUGUCAGUAUUUCUGAUUGGAGUCUUGAUGCUCUCAUCAGGGACAAGGAGGAGCCCAUUCAAGUGGAGGAAGUUUAAGUAAAUUUAAGAAAGUCUGUGUAAAUUUCAUAUAUAUAUAGUACAAGGCCAGUUGAAUUCAAUUACAUAAAUCUAUUCUAAAUCACCUGGGAUAAGGGCAUCUGCUCAGUGAUUAUUAUAAUAACGCAAUCAUGUCAUCCAAUGUCAUGUCUAUCUGGUGUUUUUGGUAAUAAAGUGACAUUCCUGAA